rnacentral:tRNA from 1 species
GCCUCUAUAGCUCAGUGGUAGAGCACUGGUCUUGUAAACCAGUGGUCGAGAGUUCAAUAAAAGAA